UGUCUGUGGUCAGGGUGGCGCUCAUUUGAAAUUAGGCAGCUUCACCCACAGCCGUGCCCGCUACUCCUCUGCACAAAAGAGCCAAGCAGGGGCACAGUACCCACUUUGGGGCACCAGAGCCGUGAUACUUUCACAAAGAUAACUACACCUGUCCGCUCCUUUUAUCUUCUGCGAAAGUAAGUGCAAUCUUUAUGUUGAUCUGGGGGUUAUAGGCUAGGCUACAGCAGCAAAAUAUUGUCAUUUGCAUUGGAACAUGUUUCCCUCUUUUUUCUGGCUUUUAAACUACUGUUAACAUAUUUUACACAGCUGUGAUGCUCAUGUAGCUCUUUAAUGUUUUUAUAUUCAUUAUUGUGUACCAAUAUGUCAAAUUACACAGUGAAGUUGCAUUCUUGGAAAAUAAUCUUUGUUGUCUAUAAUUUGAUUUUAUAUUGUCAUUCUGCAACCAUGUUAAACUGCAUGAGCUACUGCCUGUCUUGGCCAGGACACUCUUGAAAAAUAGAUUUUUAAAUUCAACAAUAAUCUCCUGGUUAAAUAAAAAUGUAAUAAUGUUUACAAAUAGAAACAAUUAUUCUUAAAGCUUUGCAUACAUCACAGUCAGUCUGCCAUGUUCAGAAAUAUGAGCCUGUCAGCAGGGCCGUUUCAGACAGUUUGAAAACCGUUAAGAUCACACCUCCUCUACCAGCGCCGAUGCAGCCAUGCCCCAAACAUCCUCAACAGUAUUUUUGUAAGCCCUUCUCUCUGCCUCAGUCCUCCAGACCCCUGUCUGAAGAUAUUACAAUCUCAUAUUGUAUUAUAGUCUGCACAGAUUAUAAUAUCCAAACUCAAGUCACUUUUAAAGUGUGAAGCAUUUUAUAUCCGAUCAUAUUCAGCCACACUGCUCUGUCUGCAAGGCUGUUUACUACUAAUGGCACAUUAGCAAAGCACCGAUGCCAGAUCAGAACUCUCUCCUGUUUUAAUAAUAAUCAAGACCUGUAUAUGUGUAUUUGGAUAAAU